rnacentral:lncRNA from 1 species
ACCGGGUGCAACUGAAUACUAGUGUUUUACAAGGAUCAACUGCCUAUCUGACCUACUCAACUCAGUUACCCAGGCAACCAGGUACCCUUGGUAAGACUGGUUGGCAGAAUUUCUGACUAUUUUAUGACUGCCAAGGAUGUUCAAGGGACUUCCGAAACACGGCAGAACUCGUCACAAGUCACUCGUGACAAGGUGGUCGCCCACCUACGGACCGACUGCGCUAAGCGUUGCUUAACUUUAAUAUCAAUCGAUCCGCGCGGCUUUCACUUAACCACGAGCUCUUCUGAUAUUAUUUAUGCUGAAAUAAUAAACAGGUAACAUGUUUUAGUUUGUUUGUACCCUAUGGGUUGCUAAGCUACUAAAAGGAUCUGAAAAAUUGCACUGUUCGAAAGCUACACUCUUCCCGAGUAACAUAGACUAUAUUAUAUCUCGGUAGGGGCAGUAGUUCGCAAGGGACGCGGGAAAAGGGCUAAUUAGUAAUAUAGAGAACACUUGCACAGCUGAGCGCAUUCUCACAAGAUGUAAGAUGGCAGAAGAACUCCCUCCAGCGUGACGGCGGCGGCGGACAGCUUGUCGGGCGCCGACCAGACUGCAUCACAGUGAAUGUGAACUCUUGCACGGGCUAUUGCGUUACCCCGCAACACUCGCUCGGAUACAUGUUUGUUUGAUAAGAUGACGCGCGUGUUUUUUUGUCAGGAGUAGGUUGUAACGGAACGUUACAUGACUGAUUUGUAAAUGCUAGUCUUUGUUUGUGCGCGGGUUAGGAACGCGCGGAAUGAACGGAACGAAGGGUUUUGAUCGAUGCAGCGGCGGGCGUGAGCGCAGCGCCGCAUUGACAUUCGCUCGCUGGUCGCUUCUAGACUGGUGUGUGCGUUGACCUCCUACCAAAUUCCGUCGUGGCAAGCGCCCUAGCAGACACGGCCGUUUAAUUUUGAAAAUUAAUUUUAUUAAAUCAAGUGAUUCAGUAUAUUUGUUGUGUGGAAAUCCCGAAUUAGGGUUUUUCCACCCGAUUAUAAGACGCCAGCAGCAGCAGCCUCGUGUUCGGGUUGUUACGAGCCGAGGUCUCGCCGACGCGACAGCUUCGUGCAGCACCGCGUGCAUGUCAGCACCGUCUCCAUCCCUGUGACGUCACCGUACAGCACCGCAGUACAUCUCGGCCUACUUCCAUCUCCGGCCAGCAGCGUGAUUUCGCCGCCACUACAGGGGAGUACCUAUCCCUGCAGAAGUGACUUCAGACAAAGUUAUACUCACGACCCACAAAUCAAAUCUUUGUGUGCCUCCGGCUGUGGUUUUUUUUAUACAUUAUACAUUGUUUUUAAAGGUA